rnacentral:rRNA from 1 species
GACGAACGCUGGCGGCGCGCUUAACACAUGCAAGUCGAACGGAAAGGCCUGCUUUCCCUUGUGGAUUGCGGGUACUCGAGUGGCGAACGGGUGAGUAACACGUGAGUGAUCUGCCCCCAACUUGGGUAUAAGCCUGGGAAACUGGGUCUAAUUCCCGAUAGGACUGCAGGGUGGUGCCUGUGGUGGAAAACGAUUUUCUAGUGGUUGGGGAUGAGCUCGCGGCCUAUCAGCUUGUUGGUGGGGUAAUGGCCUACCAAGGCGGCGACGGGUAGCCGGCCUGAGAGCGUGGACGGCCACAUUGGGACUGGGAUACGGCCCAGACUCCUACGGGAGGCAGCAGUGGGGAAUAGUGCACAAUGGGCGGGAGCCUGAUGCAGCGACGCCGCGUGGGGGAUGACGGCCUUCGGGUUGUAAACUCCUUUCGACCGCGAGGAAGCCACCUGGUUGGAAGGGUGGUGACGGUAGUGGUAGAAGAAGCACCGGCUAACUACGUG